rnacentral:lncRNA from 1 species
AAAACUAGCAAUUUGGUCCUCGAACCUUGGGGACUCACCACUGAAGGAACGUAGAUGCGGCACUCGGAUAUCAUUAUCGCGGCUGCGACUAAGUACCUGAACCUACAUCAUGGUAAGAAUAUAGCCCAUCAAGAAAUAUGUGGGUCAGCAAAAGAUACGUACUGAGUAUGUGGGGGCGCAUGCAAAAUAUAAAUAAUAUCAUAAAUUUCAUAAAAACGUACAUACGAACCACAAUGACACACCUGGCUUGAGUGACAUUGAAUCAUGCAACUCAUAACGUCCUAGAUAGGAAAUGUAGGAGAAAAAACCCAUAAAUCAUUAUAGAUCAUCAUAGGCAACUUGACUUACCACAUCAAAACUCGGAGUGACUCGGUAUUUCAAUAAACAUGACUCUUAUGGACAGGGGAGUUUCCUAUAACCGACAACCCCACGUGAGCUACGUGGAAUACCAACGUUUGAAACCCCCGUUGGCGGGUGCAUCAUACUCUUUGUCAGGGAGUACGGCCUUAAAACUGCAAUAAUCACAAUCGGGCUCUCUAACCAAUAAUUUCAUCAUCAAACAACCCUACGGUGGCACAUAGGUUUGGGAAAAUACCAAAUUUCCCUCGGUGCUAAGUACUACUCCCCGACAAGCUCAGAACGCGUUAGAAAAUCCACCACAACAUCACAAGGGUCUAUCAUAAAGACCAAAUCAAAUCUCUUACUCAUUUAUCAAAUCAUAUCAAUUUGUGGAUUCCUAACUCAACACAUUUUAGGUCAAAAUAUUUUAAUCUUCCUUAACAUCAACAAGGUAUCAAUGCAUUGAACCAUAACCGACUCGACAUUUGGACAAGGAUACUCAAUACAUAAUAUUUUCAAAAAUUUAACUCAUCAAAACCAUCCAGAAAAUACCAAGACUCGUUGCAACUUUAAUAUCAACAUUUCUCAAUUUGCCAUCCAACUCUCAUUAAAAGGUACUUGAGACAUCAACCCAUAGUAGGGAUAUAGAAUUUCCAAUAUCAAUUAUAAAUUCAUAAUAAGGAAAUAAUAGAAUGAUAGUAUAAAUCAAGGCUUAACAAAUUAAAUCAUCAUACUCUCAUAAUCAAAUACUUUUUGGACAUAAUUCCAUCUCAACAUCAUACACAUAUCGGAUGACAUAAUCCCAUAGCUCAUGGACAAUAAUAUAAGAUAUAAAACCAUAUUUCCAAUUCAUGGUAAAACAUGUAAAAUCUCAUGUCAAUGUAAUUCAACAAAAAUACUGGGCACAAGAUCGAAAGGAUAAUCUUGUUCAAAGCCCCACAUACCUAAAAAUGGAAGAUGAAUAUGAACUUCCGACUCCGAAACUUUAUUCACGAAAAUAAAGGGUGCUUCUCGAAGCCCUUAACAUGAUCAACUGGAAUCCCAAAUUAAUUUGAAAUUUCUAUGGUUCAAUCAAGAGACAUGGAAGGAUGAAAUUUGGAGUAGUAGGGUUGGGGUUUGAGCCUUAGGAAAUUUUGGAGAAAAAUGAGCUAUUGAAUGCUCUUAAUGGACUUAAAUCCAUGGUUUACCCAGAUGGAUUGGAGUGGGAAUGACCAAAAUACCCUUAAAAAUCAAAUAAUGUCAAAUAUGUCCUUUGAUGGACUGUUUUGAUAGGCUGAAGUAGAUCGACCAUAACUUUUUGCUUCAAUGGUCAAAUUGGAUGAAACCAAUUUCAUUGGAAAGAGGACUUUCAGAGCUUUCUGUUAAUAUAUAGUAGCUCACCCAUAUCAUUAUGUACAAAAAGUUAUGAUCGUUUGAAGUUGACCCUAAAAUUCGCCUGGCCUCAGUAUUUUCUUUCCUGAACAUUUACUGUUCACCAUAUUCACGGUUAGAUCGGAAUGAUCAUAACUCAUCGCUUGAGUGUCCGUUUUGGAUGAUCCACAUAUCGUUGGAAAUCUUAUUUGAUGAUCUACGCAAUGAUGGGUCACAUAUCCAGAAAUUCCACACAGAAAAAUUAUUAAUCACGAUAAAGAACAGAAUUCAACACAUUUUCGUCUGAGAUCGUAACGGAAAAUUUUUCUAGGGCAUCACAUCAUCUCCCCCUUGGAAACAUUCAUCCUCGAAUGUUGAUAGGUAGGUCAAGCAUAUACUCCAUUCUAGAUAUUUUUGGAUAUCGUAGAAAAUACACAAACCAAGAUAAACAUAGCAAUAAGGAUUAAAUUAAAAGAGAACGAUACCUUUGACAUGCUCAGGAUUCGUAGGAAAGAGGUAGGGAUAUUUGGAGCGCAUAUCCGCUUCGGCUUCCCAAGUAGCACUCUCCACGGAUUGAUUUCACCAAAGCACUUUAACCAAAGGAACUUCCUUGUUUCUUACCCUACGAACUUGAAAGUCAAAAACCUCAACCGGAAUCUCUUCAUAUAAAAGACUAUCUUGAAUACCCGAGCUUUCAGAA